rnacentral:rRNA from 1 species
CCCUUAGAUGCCCUGGGCCGCACGCGCGCUACACUGAUGCAUUCAACGAGUAUUUCCUUGGCCGAGAGGCCUGGGCAAUCUUUUAAACCUGCAUCGUGAUAGGGAUAGACUAUUGCAAUUAUUAAUCUUGAAGGAGGAAUUCCUAGUAAACGCAAAUCAUCAAUUUGCAUUGAUUACGUCCCUGCCCUUUGUACACACCGCCCGUCGCACCUACCGAUUGAAUGGUCCGGUGAAAUCUCGGGAUUGUGGCCAGUUCACUUUAUUGGGAGUUGGCUGCGAGAACUUGCUUAAACCUUAUCAUUUAGAGGAAGGUGAAGUCGUAACA